AUUGAACGCUGGCGGCAUGCCUUACACAUGCAAGUCGAACGGUAACAGGUCUUCGGAUGCUGACGAGUGGCGAACGGGUGAGUAAUACAUCGGAACGUGCCUAGUAGUGGGGGAUAACUACUCGAAAGAGUGGCUAAUACCGCAUGAGAUCUACGGAUGAAAGCAGGGGAUCGCAAGACCUUGUGCUACUAGAGCGGCCGAUGGCAGAUUAGGUAGUUGGUGGGAUAAAAGCUUACCAAGCCGACGAUCUGUAGCUGGUCGGAGAGGACGAUCAGCCAGACUGGGACUGGGACACGGCCCAGACUCCUGCGGGAGGCAGCAGUGGGGAAUUUUGGACAAUGGGCGAAAGCCUGAUCCAGCAAUGCCGCGUGCAGGAUGAAGGCCUUCGGGUUGUAAACUGCUUUUGUACGGAACGAAAAGCCCCGGGUUAAUACCCUGGGGUCAUGACGGUACCGUAAGAAUAAGCACCGGCUAACUACGUGCCAGCCGCCGCAGUAA
rnacentral:rRNA from 1 species